GGGGAAGGUAAACAAAACAUUAAAGAAAGUUAACUUCUGAAGAACAUAUUGGAAAAUUAAAAAAAUAUUAGGUUUCAUUGUAAUAAUAUUCUUAUUUCGGAUUUCCAUGAUUUCGGAUUUUUUCAUGAGCUGAGGUAAUAGCUACUAAAGAAGCAGUUAUAGGAAGUAAAGUCCUCAUUAGUAUUCAUAAGGAAAUUCCUCGCCAUAGAAUAUUUAGUAGGAUAUUUUUUUAUUAAUGAGCUAGGCCAUCUAACUCUCGCACGCGCCUCUGCUGUUUACACGAAUGUCACGUAAAACAGGUGAGCGUGAUUUCACCAGGUACAACAUGUUCCUGUAUCAACAUUCCAAUCAACCAAUCAGAAUUGAGAUAUAACUUUUCAGGAAAUAUCUGUUUUAGGCUUACAAUCAGGGUUAGGUGCUUCAACACCCUUGUUAAUCAGCUAUCAUUUCCCUCUGAUUUUAUGAAUAAAUUAUGGGUAGUGUUAGGUUUAGGGGUAGGGAUUGGGUUAAAUCUAUAUUUUUGGACAAUAAUGUUGAUCCAGGAACAUGUCUUGGCAAAAUCACGGCCACCAAAAACACAUAGCAUAUACAUUGGCAUGCAAAAGUGUUCCAUCAUGGAGGAUUCAGUGGAGGUCAUCCUUCAGCAUAAAAGUUGCAAGCCCUCCCAUCAUACUCAGGAAAAGCCAGUUUUCACAGCGGCAUCUGGCGCUUUGCUUGUGGAAGUUUAUGGCCUCUGGUUAUUAUUUGCACUUCCUGGUUUUCAGAAAGUACCCAUAUGGCGCAAGGUACUGGAAGGUUAUAUACAAUAUAUUGGCAGAUAUUUAAAGCUUUGCUCAGCUAUUCGUUCAAUACCCUGGUUAUCCUUUUAGAUGGCAACAAUCUGAAUUUGACCAUGUGCCUGGAUACAGUGGUUGUUUAGAUUUAUAGUCUUACAGAGAGAAAAUGGAAAUCAAUUAAUCACUGAUGUAAGUGAAAUUAAUAUUGUCCAGAUGCCUUAUUUGCCCUCCAGUAGAACACAGACCCAGAAUGUAAUGAAACUCCUGCAUGGGAGAGCAGGGUGUCUGGCAGAUCUGGGAUCUGGUGAAGGGCGACUGGUGAGACUUUAACAUUGACAGUAAAUGAUAAUUAACUGAAUAUACGACAUGUUUUCAAAUAUCGCGGUUAUUACUAAUCAUUCUGCAUAAUACCAAUGUACAUAUUUGUCUUCUAUAACAUGGACCUCUAACAAAAAUCCUAAUAAUGUAAUGUAUAUAGUAUUUAACAUUUUUAAUAAUGUAUAUCUCCAAGUGCUAUACCAGAUUUCCAGAUGAAGUUUUGUGCUUUAAGCACUUUCUGUUUCAGAUGCUUCUGACGGCUUUCUGCAGAAGACUACAUUCUCAAUAGGACAAUACAUGGUGAGAUGCUUAGCAGCUGGGUGGGAGAGAAUGUAUGGGAAAUAUUACAAAUGUAAAAAAAAAACACAUUUGAUAGUCUAUUUAUAAUUUUGCAUGACUUUGCUGUUAGAUGUAGCUCAUUUCUAAGCUCUUGGGGCUUGGCUUUCAAAAAAGAAAUGACUAAUAUGUGGGUUAUUUAUACAGUAAUUUCUCACUAAGAUAAUGGCCACUGGGCAGCCUACCUGGGGCUGCCUCUUUUGUGUUCAAAAAUAGAUCUCAUUAACUCUCAAAUUUGAAUGGAAAAAAAAAAACAUUUUUCUCCUGUUACGUCUAUAAUUGCAAGAAUCAUUGGUCUUGUCGUUAAAAAUAUUCUUCUUGGUUUCUUUUAUACAUGGAAAGCAAACAAUAUGAGCCACAGGUAGUCUGCAUCAUGUCCAGUUUUAAAUGACAUAAAUAUCACAGACGCUGGUUCUCAAAGUGUAGGAUUGGCCUUGAUGUGUUUUGUAGGUAAUUGCUACCACUGUCAAGGUAAAGUGGAAGGGAAUAACAUCCAGUACUGCAAGUUUUAUAAACCAGGACUUUUGGAAGGUAAGCUAAAGGUGUUAAAGUGAAGAGUGUAAUUCCUGUGCCACCAGGAAUUACACACUAGACUUUGUCUUCCAUUGGCCAGUAAAACAAAUAGCUCCGCCCCCAACUCAUUCCAUUGGUUAAGUAAAUGUUGCCGUGUAGGGAUGCUAAAACAAACAUUAAACAUUAAAGCCAUUAUGUGCACGAGCACCAGUGGGAUUCCACACAAAUAUUCAAUGAACAGUGAUCUAUAGACACAGAUUUCUAUAGGUCACUAGUUCUCAGUCAGAGGGCCUCAGCAAACCUACCUGUACUAGUUCUACAACUGUGUGGAAAACCAUCUAUUUAAAAAUUACACAUACCACAUGCAUAUUUUAUUUCACAUGUCCAAAUGUUGAUGAUUCAGUUUUAUCACUUCCUUUCACAAACUGAUUUGUCCAAAUAUAACAAUGUGACUGUUUUCUUGGCACCCGAAGUGGUAAGUAUGCACAGAUGUCCUUUCUUCAUAUAUUGAGCUGAGUAUUAAGAUAGUAUCUUUACAAAUCAGUGCAACAAAUUACAUCAUCUAGACAUUUAUUCUUAAUUGUGGUGUGAUUUUGUCUGAUCAUGGGAAUUCUAUGAAGAAUUUAUAUGGUUAGGUUACACUGUAGAGUUUCAAGUAAUUUAAAAACAAAAUGUUGUGUGAGACAUGUGGAAGGACACAGGCCUGCGUCUUGGGCAUAUGAUAUUGAUGCUAUACGGAAGCUUUCAACACAAGCUACCAUGAGAUGAGGGGAAAAGCAUCUUCCCUUGUCAAAAAGCUUUCUGUUUCAUGUUUUAGCACCGCCUGAAAGGUACCGGUCACCAGUGCCUAUUCGGUGUCUCACCUCAAUCGUCAUAUUGAGGGUGGAAGAGAGUGCUGGUUAUUCACUCCCCCCACCUACAAUCCCUGCAGGUACCGAGACUUGAACACGUGACCUUUGGGUUACAAGUCUGACUGUCUAACUAUUAGGCCAUGACUGCCCCCUUAAAAACCAUUUUUAACUAAAAGGUUUGCGCACAAUAUAUUAAGCUAAAUAUAUUUUGAUAAUUAUAAUGAGAUAAUAAAUAAUACUUAAAAUUUUAAUCUUAAUUCAAAUAAACAUCAAAAUUACAACAUUCUUGUAUGAUUUUAAUUAUUACAUAGUCGAGAAGCUAAUGUUACUUUAAUUUUAUUUUAGAUAAUCGUGCAUCUAACAUGACUAGUAAUUAUUUAUAAAGCUUAUAUAAUAAUGCUUAUAAUAAUGCUUUUAAAAAUGGAACGUGGCAGAUGUUGUGUGUCACUUUGGCCACAUGGUGAUGCUCCGACACUAUUCUGUGAAUCAACACGGUUUCAAACGUAUAAAUGUCCUUAAGAUGUUUCAUCUAUUGAACCAUGAUAAAUUGGUAAUAUCUCGCCAGCGCUUAUUUAUCAACUAUUAUAUAUAUAUAUAUAUAUAUAUGUAUGUAUAACACACACAAACACAUGUAUAUAUGUGUAUGUAUGUGUAUAUAUAUAUGUGUAUGUAUUCAUCACUAUGUGAGAGAUUGCUAUGUGACCACUGAACGAGUGAUUGCAAUAUGGAUGUAUAUGUGAAUCAUUGCUCAGAUCGACCUGCUUUUUCUUCGAUAAUCUUUGCCUAUGUGUCUAUGAAGUGUCUAAGAUGUUUAAAAAUGGAUACAGUGAGGUAUUUGACGGAUGACAGAGCUAUACGCCAGAUCUCACGCCAUAUAGGGUCUUCCCGUCUCGUGACGCAGUUCGUGUAGAGCAGAGGCGCGCGGGCGCUGCGGUAUAAAAGCGGGGAGACACGCCGGUACAGCAGCACUGUGACA
ensembl:lncRNA